AGAUUCUUUGGGAUGUUGGUCAUCAGUCUUAUCCUCAUAAGAUUCUUACUGGGAGAAGAGGAAAGAUGCCUACAAUGAGGCAAACCAAUGGUCUCUCUGGUUUCACCAAACGAGGAGAGAGUGAACAUGAUUGCUUUGGUACUGGACACAGCUCAACCACAAUAUCUGCUGGUUUAGGUAAUACAAUCAAUCAUUCCUUUGGUGUGUUUGCCUUGUGUUGUUGUGUUUAGACAGUAAACUGUAAUAAGAAAACAGAACUGAAUCAGAUAUAUGAGUUUUACAGGAAUGGCGGUAGGAAGGGAUUUGAAGGGGAAGAACAACAAUGUGGUUGCUGUGAUUGGUGAUGGUGCGAUGACGGCAGGACAGGCUUAUGAAGCCAUGAACAACGCCGGAUAUCUAGACUCUGAUAUGAUUGUGAUUCUUAAUGACAACAAGCAAGUCUCAUUACCUACAGCUACUUUGGAUGGACCAAGUCCACCUGUUGGUGCAUUGAGCAGUGCUCUUAGUCGGUUACAGUCUAACCCGGCUCUCAGAGAGUUGAGAGAAGUCGCAAAGGCAAGUUUAUUGCAUUUCUUUUCUAGAAUGGUAAAGAAUACUGGUCUUUAUGGACUUGAUGAGAAUUUUGGCUUUUCUUGCGUAUAGGGUAUGACAAAGCAAAUAGGCGGACCAAUGCAUCAGUUGGCGGCUAAGGUAGAUGAGUAUGCUCGAGGAAUGAUAAGCGGGACUGGAUCGUCACUGUUUGAAGAACUCGGUCUUUACUAUAUUGGUCCAGUUGAUGGGCACAACAU
rnacentral:lncRNA from 1 species